CAGUCCAUUCAAAAUGUCAUCGUCGUCGCGUAGUGUUUAGAUUUUGCUCCUGAGAAAUCGGUUAAGAACUUGUGCAGAUUCCAUCCGAUUGCAUUUAAAGCGUGCGCAGCAUCAUUCUGUAUCUUCCCAGCAUCCACUCCGCCAAGCUUUGCGUGAAAUAAUUUGUGAAUUGGCGGCUUUGCGUGCAAAUAAACAAAUUCCGUAGAACUGUUGCCGUCGGACUCCUGUCCUCCGUAUGUGAGUGUGUGCGCAACAACCGCGGCAACCUUCCCAGCAGCGUGUACACCAGUAUCGGCGUUUGACGUUUCUCGUCGUACGAGAUCGCAGUGGCUUGCGCCAGUGCUCGGUACGUGGAAUUCGUGGUCUUCUCUCGGGUCCGUCUCCGUCGCGGUUAGUCGAAUUUUCGAGUUGAGCCGAGUGCGCGUCUUCGUUUGCGUCUCGUCUGUCGCUGGAAUUGCUCCUACUGCUGCUGCCUUUUGCGAUCCUCCUGGCUUUUCCAAAAACACCAAAGUUUUACACGAACCGCCACAAAGCGCUUUCCCGGCUGCCAACCCGCACGCCACUGUAGUUCGUAGCUCGCCGCUGAGUCCUGUCUCGUCCUUGUCUCGUGAGUGCGUGCGUGAGAGUGUGUGCGGUGUUCGUGCUUGCGAAGCAACCAGGAUCUGGCGACGUCACCAGCAAAGUGGAAUUCGGUGAAUUGUGUGGCCGGUGGACGGCCAGUGAAAAGUGUUUGGCGCUCGCAUUGGGCGUGUCGUGGCCUCAGCGCUCCCGUGCAGCAGUCCCAGCCAGACAAGGGCAGUUGUUAGUGCGUGAUCCCGGCCCCAGUUCGCCUCCGUGAGCAGUUCCUCCAAGUCAUGUCCACUUACAGCUGCUACGGACAAAACAUAAAAGGAUUUCCCGCGUUGUAGUCGUGUUCGUGUCGUGUACGUACGGUGUCCGAACAGUUGAGUAAACAUCGCGCGCGGUUGUGUGUGUGCAAGGUAUCGUCGCGUUCGUGAGUGAGGGGCAGGGAGCGUUCACGUCGGGGCUGCGCCGCCUUGUGCCACUUGUCAGUGAAGUGUGAAGUAGUAGAAAAAUCGUAGCGUAAAACGGCGACCCAGUGCUAAUCCGAGUCCUUGUCGCAGAAUAUCCCCCGUGCGGGCAAAUUGACAUUUCCCUCGCGCGCGUUUGCUUUGUCCUGGCAGCUUGUGUUUCGCGCGCGAGUGUUUAAUGGUCGUAGGCGCAGGCUGCCGUGCUAGCACUGAAACUCGAACGAUUCGCUUUGAUGCAGCAGUCAAGUCACUCGAAAGCUACGAACCCACGAAAACGGCAGCAGAAUUAGAAGUGAAAGAGUUGUCCGACCUCCGCCCCCGUUUCCGACGCCUUCAACAUCGUCUCGGUCGCCACAAUGUUCAAGUGCAUUCCGAUCUUCAAGGGCUGCAAUCGACAGGUGGAGUUUGUUGACAAACGCCACUGCUCGUUGCCCAGCGUCCCUGAGGAGAUAUUGCGGUACUCGAGAAGUUUGGAAGAGCUGUUGCUCGAUGCCAAUCAUAUCAAGGAUUUGCCAAAGAAUUUCUUUCGACUUCAUCGACUACGAAAGUUAGGACUUAGCGACAAUGAAAUCAACAGAUUACCGCCAGAUAUACAGAAUUUCGAAAAUUUAGUGGAGUUGGACGUUUCAAGAAAUGAUAUCGCAGACAUUCCGGACGACAUUAAACAUUUACAGAGCUUACAAGUAGCUGAUUUUAGUUCAAAUCCAAUUCCCCGCUUACCGGCCGGUUUUUCACAAUUGAAAAAUCUAACAGUAUUAGGCUUAAAUGAUAUGUCAUUAUCAUCGUUACCCGCGGAUUUCGGAAGCUUAACACAGUUGGAAUCGUUAGAAUUACGCGAAAAUUUACUUAAGGAAUUGCCUGAAUCGAUAAGCAAUUUAGUGAAACUCGAACGUUUAGAUUUGGGUGACAACGAAAUCGAAGAAUUACCCGCUCAUCUAGGCUCCCUGCCAUCGUUACAAGAACUAUGGCUGGAUCAUAAUCAGUUACAGAAACUUCCACCGGAAAUUGGCCUACUGAAAAACUUAGUAUGUUUAGAUGUUUCCGAAAAUAGAUUAGAAGAAAUCCCCGAAGAAAUUGGUGGACUUGAAAAUCUCACCGAUUUACAUUUAUCACAAAAUCUUCUAGAAUCAAUUCCUGAUGGAAUUUCGAAUUUGCAUCGUUUAACGAUACUAAAACUGGACCAAAAUCGAUUGCAUACAUUGAAUUCAAGUAUUGGAGCAUGUGAUUAUAUGCAAGAAUUGAUUUUAACUGAAAAUUUUUUAAUCGAGCUUCCACCAUCAAUCGGCUGCAUGACGAAACUGAAUAAUUUAAAUGUCGAUAGAAAUUCAUUAGAAAGUUUACCAAUAGAAAUUGGUAACUGCACAAAAUUGGGUGUCCUCAGCUUGAGAGACAAUAAGCUGAAAGUUUUACCAGCCGAACUUGGGAAUUGUAGUCAGUUGCAUGUUUUGGAUGUAUCUGGAAAUCAAUUACAGUAUUUGCCAUACUCAUUAGUAAAUCUUCAGCUAAAAGCCGUGUGGCUGUCUGAGAAUCAAGCACAACCUCUUCUAACAUUUCAACCUGAUACAGACGAAGUAACCGGCGAACAGGUGUUAACAUGCUUUUUACUGCCCCAGCAGGAAUAUCAGCCUAUCAGUCCAGAAUAUCCUCCGGGUCAGCUGUAUAGAUCAAGUGAAAAAUUCGAUUCCAUGGAACUUUUUCAACCCGACGAAGCUAUUCGCGAACACGAAUCCGAUUCCGAUGGUUGGGAGGAGCGGGAAGCCUCACGUACACAUUCCGUUAAAUUUUCCGAGGAAUCUACCAACGAGAAAGAUACACACUUCGUCCGACAAAACACGCCCCAUCCAAAAGAGCUUAAGGCCAAAGCGCACAAAUUAUUUGCCAAGGAGCGUAGCAAACGGGACGACAGUGGAAAUCUGGAUACAUUGUCCGAAGAGAGCUCGUCUAAACCCUCUUCGACCAAGCACGAGAUGAAUUCCACAACGAUGGAGAACUUAGCUGAAGCACAAACCGAGCCAUUCCUUCCGCCACCGACACCAACUGCUGUAACGAUAGUCGAGACACAAGAGACCCACGAGUUCGAACCAAAUCCAGUAGCACAAAACACCACCGAUGUGGAUGCUGAAUUGGAAGAAUAUGAAUAUAAUGAGCGGCGGGUUGGUUUCACAAUGGAUGCAAAAGAUGGUGAAUUACCUCCAGAAGAUGAUGAUUUUAAAACCCGACCAAUGAAAUUGCAUAGAAGAGAUACGCCACAUCACCUGAAAAAUAAACGCGUCCAGCAUGGUGUCAUUGAUAAGGCAGCCAGUGAAAUUUUAGCGAAUGCUUUGAAAAAUCAAGAAAAGCAACUACAAUUGAAUCCUGUUACAUCACCUAUUCAAGAAAUUGCAGAGCAGAAAGAAACGUCACAGAACGAUGAUGUAGAUAGUGUGACGGAACUUCGUGAAGAGCAGCAUGAAAUUCAUAUCGAACGAACAUCAGCCGGAUUGGGAUUAAGUAUAGCGGGUGGUAAAGGCUCCACCCCAUAUAAGGGUGAUGAUGAAGGAAUAUUCAUUUCAAGGGUAACCGAAGGUGGUCCGGCAGAUUUGGCUGGAUUGCGCGUAGGAGAUAAAGUGUUGAAAGUAAAUGGAGUCUCUGUGGUUGAUGUAGAUCAUUAUCAUGCCGUCGAAGUGCUAAAAGCAUGUGGAGCUGUACUUGUCCUGUUUGUUUCACGUGAAGUGACAAAAUUAGUAGGUCAUCCUGUAUUCAGCGAAGAUGGUUCUGUGGCACAGAUAGCAAUUACGGAACCAUCACAUGAUAUUCCAGCCAAAACAGUUCCUCCACCAAUUCAAAUUCCUCAACAACAACAACAGCCGGCAAAUGUAUCGCCGCAGCCACAAAAUGUCUACAACACUUUGCAACAGCAGCAACCUGUCGCUGCCGUAACAACAACACCCGCAACACAUGAACAACAAAAUGCAAAUGUCCAACCGAAUGGCAUUGUUGAGAAUGGACGGGAGGUUGUGCAUAAAGUGACGCUUCAUACAACAUUAAUACGGGACCAAAUUGGUCAAGGACUAGGUUUCAGUAUUGCUGGCGGUAAAGGUUCGCCACCGUACAAAGAUGAUUGCGAUGGGAUUUUCAUUUCUCGAAUUACGGAUGGCAGUCUUGCACAUAGAGAUGGCAAGAUUAUGGUCGGAGAUCGGGUCCUAGCUAUCAAUGGAGUCGAUAUGACCACAGCAUAUCAUGAAACGGCCGUUCAACUCUUAACCGAUCAUCAAAGGUUCGUUCGGUUAGUAUUGCAGCGUGAGAUUCGAGGUCCUCUCGAACCACCACAAAGUCCGCGCAGUCCUUCUUUGUUGAAGGGACUGAGCCCUACCGGCUACAUGGCCAAUCGUCCAGGCUACAAACGUUCUAUUGGCGAUUUAGUAGCCGAGUCAAAUAAAUACAUCACACAACCAAUUGCCUACGAUACAAAUAAAAAUACUGUUGUUGAACAAACAACAAUUACAAAAACAAACGGUUUCGAUCAAAAUUCCGCCCCAGCAGAAUCCAUUCCACAUGAUAUGCAGAACGAGAAUGUGCAAAUCCAGCCUGUUCCUGCACCACGUCGUUUAACUUCAAGCAAUUCCAUGUCUAGUGAUGCACCAAAUCAACAAAAUGGUGCGCCUGGCGCAAAAAUAACUGAUGAAGAGAAAGAGGUACCACCGAGACCAUUGACUAGUGCUGAUUUUCAAGCUAUGAUACCGGCUCAUUUUUUACGAGGCGGUACGUCACAGCAUGUGCAUGUUGAAAAACAUGAAGGUGGUCCGUCAGUAACGGUGACCGUUAAUAAGGCUGUGCCAGAUUUGCCGAUGUUACCGCCGGCACCAACCGAAUUAGGAUGUGUUACUGAAACAAUAACAAAAUCUACAUUUACGGAGACUGUUAUGACUAGAAUAACUGAUAAUCGUUUAGCGGAACCAUUAAUUAGUGAGGAUGUAGCAUUACCUAAAAAUCAAGGAUCAUUAGGUUUUAGUAUUAUUGGUGGCACCGAUCAUUCCUGUGUUCCCUUUGGUGCCCACGAGCCUGGAAUAUUUAUUUCACAUAUUGUUCCUGGAGGUAUUGCUGCAAAGUCAGGCAAAUUACGUAUGGGCGAUAGGAUACUUAAAGUAAACGGCACAGAUGUUACAAAAGCUACACAUCAAGAAGCGGUUAUCGAGCUUUUACGACCUGGAGAUGAGAUUGUAUUAACAGUACAACAUGACCCACUUCCGAUUGGAUUCCAGCAAAUUACGAUCAGCAAGAAUGAAGGAGAACGGCUCGGAAUGCACAUUAAGGGUGGACUUAAUGGGCAAAAAGGCAAUCCACUAGACCCGACCGACGAAGGUGUUUUCGUUUCAAAAAUCAAUUCGAAUGGUGCUGCAAGACGAGAUGGACGACUCAAAGUUGGUAUGCGCCUUCUGGAAGUCAACGGAACCUCAUUGUUAGGCGCUACUCAUCAAGAAGCAGUUAAUUCUUUACGCGCGGCUGGAAAUGACAUUCAGUUAGUAGUGUGUAAAGGUUAUGAUAAGUCUAGCUUGAUUCAUUCAAUUGGGUCAGCCGGUGGAAUGAGUACGGGAUUCAAUUCUAGUAGCCGACAUGGGUCGAGAACAUCGGAAACUGGGUCAGAAUUAAGUCAAAGUAUAUCCAGUUUAGAUCGUGACGAUGAAGAUAAUCGAACAAGAAGCGAAUCGGAGGUAUUUAUGCCGAGGUCAGAAACGAAUGAUGUGCUACCUAAUGCUGGAGUUCCUCCAACAUCGCGAGAUGUAGCCUUGGUCAACUCGGAGCAGUCAUUAGUUAGUACAAGGGAGAAAAGUACACCUGAAAAAGUGCUAGAUAUUGUGAGAGCGGCAGAAUCUCUGGCGUUAUCCGACGCACUUCCACCAAAAUCACCAGCCGAUCAUCACGAUGAUAAAGUUCAAAAAACAACAACUUUAGUUAUGUCGAAACACACACUGGAUACACAUCCUGCACCACAAGCUCAGAAGGACAUUAUGAGAAAUCCUGGAGUUGUUCAACAGCACCAAAUUAAAAUAAACUCUUCUUAUACGCAGACACCAACAAUGAACAAUUCCGAUUUGGAUUCAGAUUCAGGGAUUAGUACAAUCCCAAGAACAGCAGCUAGUCUUAGGAAAGCUCAAGGAUUACUUAAUGCACAGGAAAGCGGGACUCAAACUACAUUUGAAUCAAAGAUGAAAAAAGCGACAAAUAUUGAAGAGCAGGAAGCGGAUAUGAACGAUGAUGCCUUUGUUGAAGAUGACGUUGAUGAUGAUGAAAUUGAAGAAGAAUUGAAGUCUUUAGGGCGAAGGAAGCCAUUUGUACGUUUAGAUACUUUUGAUAUCUACGAAAAAGCUCAACGUAAGAAAAAGGUAGAGGGUAAUUAUCGGAAAAUCGAAUCAGAUGACGAGUCCAGGGCAAAGUAUGUAAUACCGAGCAGUUCUGAUAGAAGUUCUCCCGAAUCAUAUUCACAUCGAAAAUCUGUUAGUUUCGAUUUGAGUGGAGAUGAAAGAUCGAAAUCAGAUUUUGACCGUUCAUAUUCACCUGAAACGGUCGGACGACGCUUCUACUAUGACUCAGAACAAGAUUACGAUUCAUCUUUGGAUUCAAGAAAAGGCCGCGAUCGUGGAUUGAAAGGUAUCUUGCGGUCAUCAAGUCCAUCUUCUGGUUCAGAAAAACCAAGAUUUAUGAUUGCAAACAGGAUUAGUGAAUCUGAGUUCGAAAACUAUUCGGUUCCUGAUCUGACUGAGGCGAAAGACAAUUCAGACGAUGAAAUUGAACGAGAAAAUCCUUUCAGAGAAGCAUUCCUUUCGAGUCAAAAUUGCAAUAUAGAUGAUAUAAAGAAACUGGCUAUAAAUCGGAGACCUGCCCGUGACAACUUCGUAAUGGGAAAACAAAUACCAGUUCAUGCUUUGUCGAAGUCAAAUGAAGAUUUGUACAAUCCUGUGAAAAUUCCUAUUCGUAAGCCUGUCCAUUUAUCUACCGGAAAUCUGACCGAACAACCUAAACGAAGACCACCACCACCGAUUCCACCGAAGCCAAAAAUAAAGCAAGCUAAUGUGGUGCGAAAUACAGCUUUAACCCAAUUUCAAAACGACCUAGAACAUGGAGAUUUCAUUCAAUAUGAACAUAAUGCCGAGACGAAUACUAUUCGCGAAGUUCCCGCGGACCGACCAAGUUCAUUCUUCAGCCCAGAUAAUCCUCUCCCCCCAGUACCAGUUAAGAUCACUUCAAGGAAAUUGAAUGCCAGACCGGCAGAAAGUCCUCCACCACCACCAGUGAAUUUAGCGACACUUCCUAGUAUGGAUGAAAUAUCUAAUUCUGAAAAUGAUCCAAUAAUUGUUGAAAUAGUUCCAGCUAAAUUCCACACCCUACCGACAGCAAAGCGUGCUGAAUAUGUUCAUGAGAAUUCACCGGAUAACAUUUUGGUUCCGGAAGACGUUCACCGUAACGUUUUGCUUCAAGAAAAUGAGAUUCGUAAUCUCAUGAAGGAGACAUCAGAAACAAUUUCGGUAAAUUCAUCAACUUUAGGUUCAACUAUAUCUCCAGAAGCACUUCCAAUAAGUAAUCCUGUAACAACAACUGCUACUAUUUCCAUGCCACCUGAUCAACAGGCGAGAGGAAUACAACUGCAGCAAUCUACGGCGUCUGGUGUACCCGUACUUUCACCAACACAAAUAUUUCCCCCACCACAAAUUCUCCCUGUACAAUACACUCACCUUCCAAUGCCACAACAGCCUGGCGGCUACUAUCAAUUAACGCAACAACAACCACUACCACCGCCACCCCCAGCAAACUAUGUUCAAUUAGGCUAUCAAACAUUGGGUUAUACCAUACCGGCUCAGCCUAUUGCUGGAUAUAGUACUUUCAUGUCACCACCGCCAUCAGCGAAAACUCCGAAGACGGUAUCCGAUAAAAAGAAAUUUUUCGAAUCGGCAAUGGAAGAGCAACAUAAACCAUCCCCAAAACCUGAAAAAGUUUUCUCAUUUCUAUCGAAAGACGAAGUGGAAAAGCUGAAGCAGGAGGAAGAAAAGAAAAUCGCAACACUAAAAAACGAUAAGAAGAAUCGUCUAGGUGACGGUGGUAGCGUGGGCGUUGACUUUACUGGAUAUGGCAGUGUCCUAGGGGGCGAAGACGAUGAUGAUGAUUGUGAUGAUAAUGAGGGAGGCAGCGAUGGAAAUGCUAACAACGAUAACGAUAACGACUACCAGAACGACAAUAAUGGAGAGAGAAUAUUGGGCAAGGACGACUAUGAGAACGACAACCGUGGCGAACAUGAAAAUGGAGAUUCACGACAUAUCAGCUCGCACAGUAUGAUACCAACUAUGAAACAACGACAAAUGAAAAAACCAGAGCCUUUGUUAAGGUCCUCCAAACCAUCACCCCCGCCCAAAUCUCCAGCUUUAGCUAUGUUCGCGUCUGACUCACCUAGUAGAAUCCCUAUUCGGACAGCUAACGCUGAAAAGCGUAUGAAACAGCGAACCGGCUCCACAGGUAGCAGUAGCCAAAGUCUAAUUGAUAGUGAAUCCAAACCUGAAAGGAUUCUGAGUCCACUUGAAAUCCAAGCCUUGAAAGCGGAAAAACGUGCCGCUUGGCGACAAGCUCGCUUAAAAUCGCUCGAACAAGAUGCCCUUCAGGCGCAGGCAAUGAUUCAAAGUAUGAAUCAGAUUGCGGAUGACUUCAUCGAGGAAACUAAAAAGGAGAAUAAAUGGCGGCAACAAAUUUAAUGCAGGUCGACAUUGAUAUACGAGGGGUAAAUCAAAAUAUAACACAGCAGCUGGCAUCAAUUAAUUUUCGUAGCAUUCCCCGACAAUAUAUGUGGAAACUGAUUGCGGAAGUGAAAUAUUUAAUACAUUAUUUUAACUUUUUAAAGUUAAUUUUCAUCCAUGAAAUAUUUAUUUUUACCGUAAAUUUAUAAUGGAUAAUGAAGUGAAUUGAGAGUGGAUUUGAUUGUCAAUACUAAAAUAAAACAA
rnacentral:misc_RNA from 1 species